GAUGAACGCUAGCGGCAGGCUUAAUACAUGCAAGUCGAGGGACAGCACAGGUAGCAAUACUGGGUGGUAACCGGCAAACGGGUGCGGAACACGUACACAACCUUCCUCUAAGUGGGGGAUAGCCCAGAGAAAUUUGGAUUAAUACCCCGUAAUAUAGUUGAAUGGCAUCAUUUGAUUAUUAUAGCUACGGCGCUUAAUGAUGGGUGUGCGGCUGAUUAGAUAGUUGGCGGGGUAACGGCCCACCAAGUCUACGAUCAGUAGCUGAUGUGAGAGCAUGAUCAGCCACACGGGCACUGGGACACGGGCCCGAAUCCUACGGGAGGCAGCAGUAAGGAAUAUUGGUCAAUGGACGCAAGUCUGAACCAGCCAUGCCGCGUGAAGGAUUAAGGUCCCCUGGAUUGUAAACUUCUUUUAUUUGGGACGAAAAAGGGCCUUUCUAGGUCAACUGACGGUACCAGAUGAAUAAGCACCGGCUAACUCCGUGCCAGCCGCCGCAGUAACAC
rnacentral:rRNA from 1 species